UAAACUACGAUUAGAUACCCUAUUAUUUUAAAUGUAAAUUGUUAAAGCUUGAGUAGUAUUAGAUAUGUUCUUGAAACUCAAAGAAUUUGGCGGUGUUUUAGUCCUUUUAGAGGAACCUGUCCCGUAAUCGAUAGUCCACGUUUUACCUUACUUAAUUUUGUUAUCAGCUUGUAUACCGCCGUCGUCAGAAUGUCCUUGAAGGGUUAUAAUUUUCUUAAUUUUUAAUUAAAAUUGAUGUCAGGUCAAGGUGCAGUUUAUGAUUAAGUGGAGAUGGGUUACAAUAAAUGUAUUUAUUACGGAAGAUGAGUGGAAAAGUUCAUUUGAAGGUGGAUUUAAUUGUAAUGAUUUAAAUAAAAAAAAUUUGAUUUUGGCUCUAAAACAUGCACACAUCGCCCGUCGCUCUUA
rnacentral:rRNA from 1 species